rnacentral:rRNA from 1 species
UACGAAGGGGGCUAGCGUUGUUCGGAAUCACUGGGCGUAAAGCGCACGUAGGCGGAUGUGCCAGUCAGGGGUGAAAAUCCCGGAGCUCAACUUCGGAACUGCCUCUGAUACAGCACGUCUUGAGUCCGGAAGAGGUGGGUGGAAUUCCUAGUGUAGAGGUGAAAUUCGUAGAUAUUAGGAAGAACACCGGUGGCGAAGGCGGCCCACUGGUCCGGUACUGGACGCUGAGGUGCGAAAGACGUGGGGAGCAAACA